UAAGGAAUAUUGGUCAAUGGGCGCAAGCCUGAACCAGCCAUGCCGCGUGCAGGAAGACGGCCUUAUGGGUUGUAAACUGCUUUUAAUCAGGAAUAAACCCCCGUUCGUGAGCGGGGUUGAAGGUACUGGUUGAAUAAGCACCGGCUAACUCCGUGCCAGCAGCCGCGGUAAUACGGAGGGUGCAAGCGUUAUCCGGAUUUAUUGGGUUUAAAGGGUGCGCAGGCGGGCUGAUCAGUCAGUGGUGAAACCCCGGGGCUCAACUCCGGAGCUGCCAUUGAUACUGUCAGUCUUGAAUUCGGUUGAAGUGGGCGGAAUGUGUCAUGUAGCGGUGAAAUGCAUAGAUAUGACACAGAACACCGAUCGCGAAGGCAGCUCACUAAGCCGACAUUGACGCUCAUGCACGAAAGCGUGGGGAGCGAACAGG
rnacentral:rRNA from 1 species